rnacentral:rRNA from 1 species
UAGGGAAUAUUGGUCAAUGGAGGAGACUCUGAACCAGCCAUGCCGCGUGCAGGAAGACGGCCUUAUGGGUUGUAAACUGCUUUUGAUAGGGAAGAAAACGACCAUGCGUGGUUAAUUGACGGUACCUAUAGAAUAAGCACCGGCUAACUCCGUGCCAGCAGCCGCGGUAAUACGGAGGGUGCAAGCGUUGUCCGGAUUUAUUGGGUUUAAAGGGUACGUAGGUGGCCCAUUAAGUCAGUGGUGAAAUCGUACAGCUUAACUGUGCAACUGCCAUUGAUACUGGUGGGCUUGAGUAUUGUCGAGGCAGGCGGAAUUUAUGAUGUAGCGGUGAAAUGCAUAGAUAUCAUAAAGAACACCGAUAGCGAAGGCAGCUUGCUAGGCAGUAACUGACACUAAUGUACGAAAGCGUGGGUAGCGAACAGGAUUAGAUACCCCCGUAGUCC